rnacentral:lncRNA from 1 species
UCCCCAACAACUGGUUCCUCUGGAUUUGCCUUCUUGGUAGGUAGUUUGGAUAUGAAUUGCUUGAGGAGCUCGCAUUCCCAGAGCUUAUGGUGGAUGGGGAAUCCAUGGUUCUGGCACAACGAGUCCAUGGAGUUGCCUUCUAGAAGUAGUCGCCACCAUUCUUCGCCGGUGGUCGUGGUGGCUGAACCGUGGUGGCGACUUCCUCUUCAUCGCGCCAGGGACGAUGGUUCCUCCGGCGCCUAUCGGGGUGUUCCAACGCUCCUCCUUCUCGCUGCUUAGUUCGCCAGCGUCGUGUGAGCUCUUUCCUUUUCAAAUGGAUGUCAAUAGUGCUUUUUAAAUGGGUAUAUAGAGGAAGAGGUGUAUGUGAGGCAUCCCCCUAGUUUUGAGAGUGCCAAGCUUCCGAACCAUGUGUUUAAAUUGCAAAAAACUUUGUAUGGUUUGAAACAAGACCGUAGAGCCAGGUAUGAGCGUUUGAAAUCUUUUUUGCUUGCAAAGGGUUUUAAAAUGGGCUCUAUGGAUAAAACGUUGUUUCUCCUCAAGCAUGGCUGUCGGAGAGGAAAUUCUCCGGCCGGGUGGCGGAAUGCACCCACCCUAAAUCCUAAGAUGAGGAGGGGCCUAAGUGUUUUGCCUGUUAGAUGGAAUCGGGAAGAACACAAGAACACACAAGGAUUUAGAGUGGUUCGGGCCGCCGAAGCGUAACACCCUACUCCACUGUGUGAUGUAUUGAGCUUGGGAGCUUGUAUGAACUUGUGAGCAUGGGUUUGCAUUUGUCACCACUUCUCUGUAUCGAGACUGCUUCCAUUUGCACCUUUGAAUGAACUUGAGUAGGGUAGUGGAUGAUCGAAACUGGUGUCUUCAGCUUCUGAUUUCUUUUCUAAAUAAACUACACCCGAUUGAAAAGUUAGAUAAAUACAUUGCUUACAACCUCACGCACUCACAUGCUUUUCAAUGAAUUUAUGGAAUCCGCUGCAAAAUCUGAUAAACUUGAAAUUUUUCAUAUGAUGUUAAUUUUAGAUAUGUUUCUAGCAUGAUGUGUGACCGCUAUUUAGGGUAGUUCACUUCGUUUACCUUGACUUGCACUUAGUUGAUUUCGUGCUUACUCUAUGCCUAGUGCUGCCUUUAGUGGUGAACUUCUCUUUUGAAUUAAUUAAAAUUGAAUCAAAAUGCUUACACUUCACAUAUCGUGUGCAUAUGAUCAGUUUGAGUGUUUGCUGGCAAGUGCAUUUAUUGCUGCACGCAUAGCACAACGCCACUUAGAGAAUUUUUACACUCUGACUGGUAUACUCCUGAAGCUCCUGCAUUUUCUCUAUUUUCUUCAUCUCUUUUGCAAUUCGGUAUUUUCUUAGGGAGAGUUCUCUUAUCGAGGGGGAGUUUUUCUUUCUACCCUUGUCUGUGCUUGAUGAGUUCAUUUGUCCACAAGGGGGAGAGAUUUUGAGAUUUCCCACUUCCUCUAUCUAGGGAAAGAAAUUUGGACUUUAGGGUCCCCUCUCAUUCAAGGGGUAGAGAUGUGUUGAUUCUGAUUAUUUGGAGCUGCUUAUCUCUAGGGAGAGAUUUUUGGGAAUAUUAUGACAAGGGGAGGAUAUUUGAGCCUUUUUGAGCUUUUGCUAGUUGUGUUGAGCCGUUUGCGUCUCUUUGGAGGGACUAGCUUUGAUUUCAUAUUUUGUGAAUUAGUUUUUAUGUUCUGAUGAAGCCUUUUGUGCUUCGAUGAGUUUUUGGCUUCGCUAGUGGUGUUGAGCCCUACUUUUGCUUCUUAUUAAGGGCUAGCCUUUUCUUGCUUGGUCGUGUUGAGUCGUUGCCCAAUUCUUAGGGGACCAAGUUUUUCUUACUCUAAAUGACUUGUUUGGCUUUUAUCUGGCUUUUGGUCAUUUGAGUGAGUUUCUCUUAUCCUUCCUCUUUCUGCUUAAUUAUGCUCAUAUGUUGGUGUUGACAAUGCACUCAUCAAGGGGAGAUUGCGAACAUAAGGUUGACUUGUCCCUUGUGGUUCGAGUUGAUGAUGAGUGAUUGUCAACGGGUAGCACUUUGGGGUAGUCAGUGGAUUGACCAGAGUGUGAGAUUAUGCUUGUGCAACCAUGUCGGACGACUUAUGGUGUGCAGGUGUGGAGCAUAGAGAUGGUGGUCGACAGCUAAGGUGAAGGUCAUGUGGGUUCGCGCUGAUGGACCUGGAGCGGUGAAGGGUGAGUGAUGGGUCUUGACUGACGAACCGGAGAAGCGGGGUGACCAGCCAUGGUGGCUGACACUUGGGACAUGCACUCACGCGAGGACGUGGUGGAGUGGACCGUGUUGCCGCGUGGUCGAGGAUUGGCGGGACACAUGCCUGGUCGUGAAGGAUGCACACGUGGUGCGGGACUCACGAUGGGUUUGCUUAGGGCUGGGCAUUCGGUUUUUUUCUAAACUUCGGUUCGGUUUUUCGGUUUUAAAAAACUUCGGUUUUUCAAACAUUAGAAACCGAUCGGUUUUAUAGAAAAUGAAAAACCGAGAAGUUCGGUUUCGGUUUUCUACUUCGGUUUUUCGGUAAAAACCGAAUACCAAACUUAUAAUCAAGACAAUACAUACAACAAGUUUACAUGAUAGAUUACACUAAUUUUAAAAAGUAAAAAUUAUAUAGGUACAAAUAUUUAGAUAUACAUCAUACAUCACAUACAAAUAAAUGAAUAACAAUUUAAUUGUAUCACACAUUUAAUUCACAUAAUUGAAUAGUCAAAUUUGAGAAUUGAUAAAGUUUGGUAUUCGGUUUUUUCGGUUCGGUAUAUGGUGAAAACCGAUUACGAUACUAAAAACCGAACUUCUUAGAUACAAAAACCGAAACCGAACCGAACUACCAAAAAAACCGAAAUUUCGGUUCGGUUCGGUACGGUUCGGUUCGGUUUUCGGUUUAUGGUAAAAAUGUGCCCACCCCUAGGUUUGCUGGUUUGGGCCUCAAUACCACCUAGCGCUAGGGAUGGUGGGUUUUGCUGAGUUUGGGCCUCAAAACUUGGAGGCGGCGGUUCUUGGCGGCACGUGGCGUGAUCGCGGAGGGAGCGUCAAGGCAAUGCAACUCCAUGUGAAGGACGUGGAUGUCGGAUAAAAAACCUAAGAGUUGGCCCAUUUCGCCCCCGGUGGAGUGGAUAGGCUCAAUGUAAAUAGGGUUAGUUUAGGAAGUGUAAAUAACCCUCUAUAAGUAGAGGGGUAGGCUGCUUAGUUCAGCAUCACUUGGCUGCCAUUUGUUUUGGCUUAGGGAUUUAGUACUCAUAUUUCCUAUCUCUAGGCGGCUCUAGUUCUUAAACAAGGAUCCACAACGAUUUUAUACUUCGACUAUGUUUGUGCUCUUCUAGUUUAAUAUGUGGAAGGGUCGUCAGUACAACCCACAAGUUUUGGUCACUUCUCAAUCUUAGUUUUUGCACCCUUGCUGAAAUUCUAAAGUUUCGUGUUCUUGGUUUCUCCCUUCCCCUUCCCUUGUGGUUUUAUGAGGAAUCUUGGAGUUAUUUUGAUAUUGGUGUUGUUGGGGAUUGAUUUGAGUGGGGAUAGACUCUUUGGAUCACUGCAUACGCCCUCACGGUGCAGUCCUUGGUCGUGAUCCAAGUUGAAUUCUUUUUGAGUUCAUUUUGAGAAAACCCCAAUAAAACCCCACCACUCUCGAGAUUUCUGAUCCGCGAUUUGAUUUCUUGUUUGUUCGGGUUCAUACUUCACAAGAGAACUUCUUUUACCCCGCACAAGCUGUCUCUCAAAUUUGAGAUCAUUCUGGACAUUUUUGCUUGCCCGGCACUGUCACCCGUGUGCGCGACACUGCUGCUCGGACUUUUUGGUGCUUUUGACUCUGAUAUUUUCUAGAAAGUUAGGUCUACAUACAAACGAUACUAGUUUGUGUUGCACUCUGAUCUGCUGGUCUGAGUCCCUAAAGGGCUUUCAAGUUGAACUUUGGGAUCAAAGUCACGUACUUGCAAUACGAGAAUUUUUAGUGGCUCCCAUUCACCCCCUCUGUCAGCCUCACUGAUCCUACACAAACACUCAAGGACUUUGGCUACAAUCUAAGCAAAGUCCCUCUUCUAUGUGACAAUGAGAAUGCAAUCCAAAUGGUGGAUGAUCCUAUUGAUCACGCCUACACUAAGCACAUUGACAUUCGGUACUAUUUUUUUGAGAGACCACUCACAAAGGGGAUGUAUUGUUAUAGACCAUGUGAUCACCCAUAAAUAGUUAGUCAAUAUCUUCACCAGGCCUCUUGAUGAAAAAUGAUUUUGUGAGCAAAGGAGUGAGCUAAAUAUCCUAGAUUCUCAAAACAUGGAUUAAAGUAUUGCACACAUGCAUAUUUUUUAUAUACCUUUGACCAUGAUGUUUAUUUGGUACUACUUCUUAAUUGUUCAUAUUCAUGCUUGUGCUAAAGUUCAAGUUGUAGAAAAUCCUCCCCGAACCUCACAAGUCAAGUUUUAUUGGUGCACAAAUUUAGGGGGAGGAUAGUCUACAAGUUGACCAUUUUGGAGACUAACAAUGCUUUCAAGUUGGUCAUGUGUAUAAUCUCAAGUAUUGAAAGAGAAAUGAUGAAUUUGAGCAAGAAAGACACUUACACUAUCAUUCAGUGUCAAAUGGCUCCAAUUCACACUGUUUGCAUGACUCCUCUUUAUGCCUUCAUCGUCAUUUCUUUUAGCAUAAUGUUGAAAGGCCAUUUGAAUUUUUCUAUUUUUGGUGCUAAAUGCCAAAGUGGGAGACAUUAUUGACCAAAGCAAAGGGACCAACUCAACACUCACCACUUAAGUUUCAAAAUUUUUUGAGUUGUUUUGCAAAUGAAAACCCUCUUGAACACUAAGGGGAGAUUCUAUUAUAAAAUCUUUGCAAAAGGGGUAUUUAUGCUAAAGGGGACGAAAGCAUUUGAAUUUGUCAAACUAUUUAGAAAGCUAUUAAUUAGAUUUGAUUAGAGAGCCAAUUUAACAACAUUAAUUCAGCUAACAUUUAAUUAAUUAUAUAAAACAUGUUUAAUAAUGAAACAUUAGUAUUAACACGUAGACUACAUUAAUACGAAUCUAUCGCGGAUAGAACAGAAUAAAUCAGGUCUAUAACUUAAAAGUAAUCAAAUGUUUAUUAAUCGCGGAUUAACGAAGACGUGGCAGGUUUCUAUUGGUUGAGCUACACGAAAGGUCGCAGAGAUGGCAGCCGUGGAAAAUCCUUUGCAGCAAACUGAAAUGAUGAAACGACAACAUGGGCCAAACCAAGUGUGCCACGUUAGGGGAGAUAGCUUCCUAUUUUCUCUCCACUGUAACUUGCUUGCGGUUUUUCUUCUCCAAAGCCUAAACUAAUGGCGGCGUGGAGGGAGGACCGGGCAGGCAUGCCGCAUGCCGGGCGCAUGGGGCGGACCUCACUGGCGACGGCCGGGCUGGGUCAGCAAGGGUGCGGCAAGCAGCGUACACGCAGAGGUACGGCACGGCUGCGUGCAGCAGCGGCUGUGUCGGCCAUAUCUAAGACGCGCGGCCAGGGGGUCGAGACAGCGCGACUCGCUAGAGCGUGGCCAGAAUGAGCGAGGCAACACACAACGAGGACGGCACAGGGCGGGGCUCGAUUGCGGGCUCGCUUGGAGACGCUGCUGCGCCUGUAGUUUGUGGAGGGGUUCGAGGACUCACUCGGCCUCAGCCAGGGCUCCACUCGGUUGUACGCGACGGUGGACCUCGGUCACGCGCGCGGAGGUUGCUCUGCAGGGCUAGGGCGUGGAUCGAGCGCUGGCUGGAAGCAGGGCACGCGCGGGAGAGGCCCAGCCGCCGGCCAUGGGCAGCACCGGCCAACGUGCGUGUGAGCGGGCGUGUGGGUCGUCGCUGCCGCGGCACUGCACUGGGCAGGUGAGCGUCUACCGUAGCGCAGUGGACGGCUGGCUUCGAGGACGGCGACCGCCGCGACAGCUCUAUAGAUCUGGGCGUCGGUAUAGGAUGAAGGGAGGAUGAGAGAGCUGCGUACCUGGUAACUCCUGCUCGCGAGAUCUGGAUCCAGGGAAGAAGUUCGUAUCUGUGUAGAGGGAAGGAGUCGUAUAUAAAUAGAGGUGGGGUGUGGCGAAGCGAGGAGGAGGUUGCACGCACGAGCGUUGCGCGACGAGAUGAAGCGAUGGAAGGGGUAGACUUAGACGAAGGGUAGACCGGGGGAAUAGACGAAGGGUCGACGAGGUAGUCUGGGAUGGAAGAUGCAAGCGACUUGCUUUUCGCGAGGAGAAGCGGUUCGGUAAUCUCGCGAAAAAGAACACGAGAUCCAGAACAGGCUCGACGAGAGAAAAAUAUAUAUACAUAUAUUAUCGAGUUUCUAGAAUUUUAUAGUUUUCGCAAAUGCUAAAUUUUGAGAUUAAAAAUAAUAUCAGAAAAAAUCUUAAAUUCAUAUUUAAUACUAAAAAAUGUUCCGAAUGUUCCCAAAAAUUUCUGGAAACAUAAACAAGAUAAUUCGAUAUAGUUUGAAAACCCUUGCACUCAUAAACACUAUGCAACGACAUGAAUGCAACAGCAAAAGCUUCUCUAGGAUUUUAUUUUACUACGCUAAAAACUUAUAUAUAAUAAAAUAACUCUUCAUUAUUUAGAAAAAAGAAAAGAAAAGCAAGGAAAAGAGAGGGUAACACCCGAAUUUAGUGGAUAUUAGAAAAGAAAUUUUAUACCCCCAAAUUCAGGGUGUUACAUGUCACAUUCAAAGCGAUGGAAGAAGAGGAGUCUACAUCAAGUAUGCUUCCAAUUGACGCCUCCAAGCUCGACAGCGAGGAAAUAACGCUCAUCAUCAAGAGCUUCCGCCAAAUCCUCAAGCAAAGGAGGGGGAAGGACUACAAGCCCCGCUCCAAGAGGGUGUGCUACCGAUGUGGUAAGUCCAGUCAUUUCAUAGCUAAAUGUCCAAUUUCUAGUGAAAGUGACAUGGAGGAAGACAAGAAGGAGAAGAAGAAGAAGAAGAAAAGAUACUACAAGAAGAAGGGCGACGAUGCGCACAUGUGCCGUAAAUGGGACUCCGAUGAGAGCUCCACCGACUCCUCCGACGAGGACGCCGCCAACAUCGCCAUCAACAAGGGCCUCCUCUUUCCCAACGUCAGCCACAAGUGUCUCAUGGCUAAGGACGACAAGAAGAAGAAGGUACACUCUAGAGCCAACCCCAAAUAUACUACAUCUAGUGAUGAGGGUAGCUCUAGCGAUAAUGAAGAUGAUUACUUUCUCUCUUUGCCAACCUUAGCAUGGAACAAAAGAAAAAAUUGAAUGAAUUAAUUGAGAUCAUUAACGAGAAGGAUGAUCUCUUGGAAUGUCAAGAGGACUUGCUCGUUAAAGAAAAUAAAAUUUUUGUUAAAUUGAAAAAUGCUUAUGCUCAGGAAGUAGAAAAAUGUGAAAACUUAUCUAAGGAGCUUAGCAUUUGUCAUGAUUCAAUUUCAAGUCUUAGAACUGAGAAAUCUAGUUUAGUUUCUAAGAUUGAAAAAUUGAAUGUUUGCAAUGAUUCAUUUUCCUGUCUUAGAGAUGAGAAUGUUAGAUUAAAUGCUAAGAUAGAAGAAUUGAAUGUCUGCAAACCAUCUACAUCUACUGUUGAUCAUGUUACUAUUUGCACUAGAUGUAGAGAUGUUAAUAUUGAAGCUAUGGAUGAUCACCUUGCCAUGACAAAACAACAAAAUGAUCACAUAGCUAAAUUAACUACUAAAAUUGCCGAGCAUGAGUUAGAAAAUGAAAAAUUUAAAUUUGCUAGAAGCAUGCUCUAUAAUGGGAGACGCCCUGGCAUUAAGGAUGGCAUUGGAUUCCAACAAGGGAGUCAAUCCAAUGUCAAUGCCCCUAAGAAAUUAUCUAACUUUGUGAAGGGCAAGGCUCCCAUGGUUCAGGAUAGUGAGGGUUACAUUUUAUAUCCUGCAAACUAUCUCGAACAUAAGAUUAGGAAGAUUCAUGCUAGGAAACCUCAUUCUGUUUCUCACCAUGCAUUCAUGUACAAAAAAGAGGCUUCUAGCUCUAGGCAUUCCACUCAUAUUAAAAAGCCUAAAAAGAAAAUUCCUAAUGCAUCAAAUGAGCAUAACAUUUCAUUUAAGAAUUUUGAUGCUUCCUAUGUUUUAACAAACAAAUCAGGCAAAGUAGUUGCCAAAUAUGUUGGGGGCAAACACAAGAGUCCAAAGACUUGUGUUUGGGUACCCAAGGUGCUUGUUUCUAAUGUGAAAGGACCCAAGACCAUUUGGGUACCUAAGAACAAGGCCUAAAAUUGUUUUGUAGGUUUAUGCAUCUGGUGGUUCAAGUUGGAUAAUCGAUAGCGGGUGCACAAACCACAUGACAAGGGAGAAAAGGAUGUUCUCCCCUUAUGAUAAAAAUGAUGAUCCCCAAAGUGCUAUCACAUUCGGGGAUGGAAAUUAAGGUUUGGUCAAAGGAUUGGGUAAAAUAGCUAUAUCUCCUGACCAUUCUAUUUCCAAUGUUUUUCUUGUAGAUUCUUUAGAUCACAAUUUGCUUUCUGUUUCUCAAUUAUGCAAAAUGGGCUACAACUGUCUAUUUACUGACGUAGGUGUUACUGUCUUUAGAAGAAGUGAUGAUUCAAUAGCAUUUAAGGGAGUGCUAGAUGGUCAACUUUACUUAGUUGAUAUUAAUGAUAACCAAGCUGAACUAGACACUUUCUUAAUUGCUAAGACUAACAUGGGUUGGCUCUGGCAUCACCGACUUGCCCAUGUUGGAAUGAAGAAUCUUCAUAACUUCUAAAGGGAGAACACAUUUUAGGACUAACAAAUGUUCAUUUUGAGAAAGACAGGAUUUGUAGCGCAUGUCAAGCAGGGAAGCAAGUUGGAGUCCACCAUCCACACAAGAACAUCAUGACGACGGAUAGGCCGCUUGAGCUACUCCACAUGGACCUAUUCGGCCCGAUAGCUUAUAUAAGCAUCAGCGGGAGUAAGUACUGUCUAGUUAUUGUGGAUGAUUAUUCUCGCUUCACUUGGGUGUUCUUUUUGCAGGAAAAAUCUCAAACCCAAGAGACCCUAAAGAGAUUCUUAAGAUGGGCUCAAAAUGAGUUCGGAAUAAGGAUAAAAAGAUAAGAAGCGAUAAUGGGACGGAGUUCAAGAACUCUCAAAUUGAAGGAUUUCUUGAGGAGGAGGGCAUCAAGCAUGAGUUCUCUUCUCCCUACACACCUCAACAAAAUGGUGUAGUGGAGAGGAAGAAUAAAACUCUACUGGACAUGGCCAGGACCAUGCUUGAUGAGUACAAGACACCGGACCGGUUUUGGGCGGAGGCAAUUAACACCGCCUUCUACACCAUCAACCGGUUCUACCUUCACCGAAUCCUCAAGAAAACAUCAUAUGAACUCCUCUAUGGUAAAAAUCCCAAUGUUUCAUAUUUUAGAUUCUUUGGGAGUAAAUGCUUUAUUCUUAUUAAAAGAGGUAGAAGUUCUUGAAAGUCGCCUAGAGGGGGGUGAAUAGGCAAAUCUGAAAUUUAUUAAGUUUAAGCACAACUACAAGCUGGGGUUAGCGUUAGAAAUAUAAUCGAGUCCGAAAGAGAGGGCGAAAACAAAUCACAAGCGAAUAAGAGCGGAUGACACGAUGAUUUGUUUUAGCGAGGUUCGGUUCUUGCAAACCUACUCCCCGUUGAGGUGGUCACAAAGACCGGGUCUCUUUCAACCCUUUCCCUCUCUCAAACGGUCACCUAGACCGAGUGAGCUUCUCUUCUCAAUCAAACGGGACACUAAGUCCACUACAAGGACCACCACAACUUGGUGUCUCUUGCUUUGAUUACAAUGAUCUUGGGAACAAGAAUAGAGGAAGAAGAAAAGCGAUCCAAGCGCAAGAGCUCAAAAGAACACAAAAGUCUCUCUCUCUAGUCACUAAUUUGUUUGGAGUGAUUCCGGACUUGGGAGAGGAUUUGAUCUCUUUAUUUGUGUCUUGGAAUGAAGUCUAGAACUCUUGUAUGAGGUUUGAUGGCUGAAAACUUGGAUGCAUUGAAGUGUGGUGGUUGGGGGGUAUUUAUGGCCCCAACCACCAAAAUGACCGUUGGUGAAGGCUUCUGUCGUAUGGCGCACCGGACAGUUCGGUGCGCCACCGGACACUGUCCGGUGCGCCAGCCACGUCACCAGGUCGUUGGGUUCCGACCAUUGGAGCUUCUGACAACGGGGCCACCGGAUAGUCCGGUGGUGCACCGGACAGGUCCUGUUCACUGUCCGAUGCGCCUUCUAGCGCCUGCUCUGACUUCUACGCGCGCAGUUGCACUGUUCACUGUUCACUGUAGCGUUGCAGACGAUUGUUGGUGCGAGUAGCCGUUGCUCCGCUUGUAACACCGGAUAGUCCGGUGAAUUAUAGCGGAGCGGCCUCCCCAAAUUCCCGAAGGUGGCAAGUUCGGAGUGGAACUCCCUGGUGCACCGGACACUGUCCGAUGGCACACCAGACAGUCCGGUGCGCCAGACUAGGGCUGCCUUUCGGUUGUUUUUUUCUCUUUUUAUUUGAACCCUUUCUUGGACUUUUUAUUGGUUUGUGUUGAACCUUUGGCACCUGUAAAACUCAUAAUCUAGAGUAAACUAGUUAGUCCAAUUAUUUGUGUUGGGCAAUUCAACCACCAAAAUUAUUUAGAAAAAGGUGUAAGCCUAUUUCCCUUUUAGUUCUAAAUUUGCUCCUAAGGGUGUAGAAGGCUUUUUACUAGGAUAUGACUCAAACACAAGGGCAUAUAGAGUCUUCAACAAAUCCACUGGAUUAGUUGAGGUUUCUUGUGACAUUGUGUUUGAUGAAACUAAUGGCUCCCAAGUGGAGCAAGUUGAUCUUGAUGAGUUAGAUAAUGAAGAGGCUCCGUGCGUCGUGCUAAGGAACAUGUCCAUUAGGGAAGUGUGUCCAAAGGAAUCCGAAGAGCCCACACAAGCACAAGAUCAACCAUCACCUUCCAUGCAAGCAUCUCCACCAACUCAAGACGAGGAUCAGACUCAAAAUGACGAAGAUGAAGAUCAAGAGGAUGGGCCACCUCAAGAGGAGGACAUGGACCAAGGGGGAGAUGAAGAUGAUCAAGACAAGGAAGAUGAUCAAGAAAUAAGGGAUCAAAGACCGCCACACCAAGAGUCCAUCAAGCAAUUCAAAAAGAUCACCCUGUCAACUCCAUUCUUUGUGACAUUCAUAAGGGGGUAACUACUAGAUCUCGAGUUGCAUAUUUAUGUGAAUAUUACUCUUUUGUGUCUUCUAUUGAGCCAUACAUGAUAGAGGAUGCACUAAGAGAUCCAGAUUGGGUGGUGGCAAUGCAAGAGGAGCUCAACAAUUUCACGAGGAAUGAGGUAUGUCAUUUAGUUCCACGUCCUAAUCAAAAUGUUGUAGGUACCAAGUGGGUAUUCCGCAACAAGCAAGAUGAGCAUGGUGUGGUGACAAGGAACAAAGCCCGACUUGUGGCCGAAGGUUAUUCACAAGUCGAAGGUUUGGACUUUGAUGAGACUUAUGCACCCGUAGCUAGGCUUGAGUCAAUUCGCAUAUUACUUGCCUAUGCUACUUACCAUGGCUUUAAGCUUUAUCAAAUGGACGUGAAAAGUGCAUUCCUCAAUGGCCCUAUCAAGGAAGAGGUCUAUGUUGAGCAACCUCCUAGCUUUGAAGAUAGUGAGUACCCUAACCAUGUGUAUAAGCUCUCAAAGGCGCUUUAUGGGCUCAUGCAAGCCCCAAGAGCAUGGUAUGAAUGCCUAAGAGACUUUCUUAUCACUAAUGGCUUCAAAGUCGGAAAAGCCGAUCCUACUCUAUUCACUAAACUGUUGCAAAAGACUUGUUUAUAUGCCAAAUUUAUGUAGAUGAUAUUAUAUUUGGGGCUACUAACAAGUCAACUUGUGAAGAGUUUAGUAGGAUCAUGAUACAGAAAUUCGAGAUGUCUAUGAUGGGGGUGUUGAAGUAUUUCCUUAGAUUCCAAAUCAAGCAACUCCAAGAGGGCACCUUCAUCAGCCAAACAAAAUACAUACAAGACAUACUUAAGAUGUUUGGAAUGAAGAAUGGCAAACCCAUCAAGACACCCAUGGGAACUAAUGGGAAUCUCGACCUCGACAUGAGAGGUAAAUCCGUAGAUCAAAAGGUAUACUGGUCGAUGAUAGGAUCUUUACUCUACUUAUGUGCAUCUCGACCGGAUAUUAUGCUUUCUGUAUGCAUGUGUGCAAGGUUCCAAGCAAAUCCUAAGGAAGUUCACCUUAGGGCCGUAAAAAGAAUCAUGCGAUAUUUAGUUUACACUCCUAAGUUUGGGCUUUGGUACCCUAAGGGAUCUACCUUUGAUAUAAUUGGGUAUUCCGAUGCCGAUUAUGCCGGAUGUAAAAUAGAUAGAAAGAGCACGUCAGGGACUUGUCAGUUUCUGGGAAGAUCCCUGGUGUCAUGGGCUUCAAAGAAGCAAAACUCCGUAGCUUUUUCCACCGCCGAAGCCGAGUACAUUGCCGCAUGCCAUUGUUGUGCACAAUUACUUUGGAUGAGGCAAACCCUCAGGGACUAUGGAUACAAAUUGAGCAAAGUCCCUCUCCUAUGUGAUAAUGAGAGUGCAAUCUGCAUGACGGAUAAUCCCGUCGAACACAGCCGCACUAAUCACAUAGACAUCCGGUAUCACUUUCUGAGAGAUGACGAACAAAAGGGGGAUAUCGAAAUUGCUUAUAUUAACACCCACUGAAAGGGAAUUAGGAUUACACCUAGUUCCUAAUUCAUUUUUGGUGGUUGAAUUGCCCAACACAAAUAAUUGGACUAACUAGUUUGCUCUAGAUUAUAUGUUCUACAGGUUUCAAAGGUUCAUCUACAACUAUACUAAAUCGACUGUCCGGAAUACCGUAGAUUAUUCUGGACAGGAGAAGCUUUUUGGAAAAACAGGCCAAGCGCGGACCGUCCGGGCCCUUGCGGCGGACCGUCUGCGACACAAGGAUGACCCUCGGACAGAACCAAUGCAAAAAUCCGAGUCUGCACUAUGGACCGUCCGGAGGAUAAGAGCGGACCGUAUGAGACCUCGCUCGGACCGUCCGGCCUCAGGCGCGGACCGUCCGGUAGGCAAGGAUCCGAAAAACCCGAAGGUGACGGGUUCGGAAGAAUGAAUUAUAGCGGCCUCGCGGACCGUCCGGGGUGCACGACCGGACCGUCCGCGACUGGGUCUGUCUGACAUCUGACGACGCAUUAAAUGCAAUAUAGCCGUUGAUAUAGCCGUUACUGCUGACCGUUGCAUUUUCAGCCGUUGAUCUACAGGGGCGGACCGUCCGGACCUGGCGGGCGGACCGUCCGCGCUCAGCAGAAUGGAGUAACGGCUAGGAAGUGGUUGGUGGCUAUAAAUACAACCCCAACCACCUCCAUUCACUUCACCCAAGCAUUCCAACCUUCAACAUUCAAUACAAGAGCUAGCAAUCCAUUCCAAGACACAUUCAAAGCUUCCAUCUCUCCAAGUUUCACAAUUGAGAAAAGAGAUCAUUAGUGAUUAGUGACUUGAGAGAGAAAGUGAUCCGUGUGUUAUUUGUCGCUCUUGUCGCUUGGUUUUUGCAUUCGUGUUUCCUUUCAAUCUUCAUUGCGAUCAAACUCACUUGUAAUUGAGGCAAGAGACACCAAUCUUGUGGUGGUCCUUGUGGGAACUUUGUGUUCCAAGCAUUUGAGAAGAGAAAGCUCACUCGGUCCGAGGGACCGUUUGAGAGAGGGAAAGGGUUGAAAGAGACCCGGCCUUUGUGGCCUCCUCAACGGGGAGUAGGUUUAAAAGAACCGAACCUCGGUAAAACAAAUCCGCGUCUCACUUCAUUAUUCGCUUGCGAUUUGUUUUGCACCCUCUCUCACGGACUCUAUUAUAUUUCUAACGCUAACCCGACUUGUAGUUGUGAUUAUUUUUGAGAAUUUCAGUUUCGCCCUAUUCACCCCCCCCCCUCUAGGCGACUUUCAAUUGGUAUCAGAGCUCGGUGCUUCAUUAGAGCCUAACCGCUCGAAGUGAUGUCGGGAGAUCACACCAAGAGGGAGAUGGAGACCGGCGACAAGCCCACUACGAGCCAAGGGAGCACUUCAUCGGAAGAGUCCCGCACCAAGAGGAAGGAGAAGAAGAAGGACUCCUCCAAACGGAAGGAGAAAAGAUCUUCUUCUUCACACCACAAAGAGAAGAAGGAAAAGUCUUCUUCCCACAAGUCGCAUCGGAAAGGCGACAAGCACAAGAGGAUGAGGAAAGUGGUCUACUACGAGACCGACACUUCAUCAACAUCGACCUCCGACUCUGAUGCGCCGUCCGUAACUUCUAAGCGCCAAGAGCGCAAGAAGUUUAGUAAGAUCCCCUUACACUAUUCUCGUACAUCUAGACCUACUCCAUUACUUUCCGUUCCAUUAGGCAAACCGCCAACCUUUGAUGGCGAAGAUUAUGCUAGGUGGAGUGAUUUAAUGAAAUUUCAUCUAACCUCACUCCACAAAAGUAUAUGGAAUGUUGUUGAGUUUGGAGCACAGGUACCAUCCGUAGGGGAUGAAGACUAUGAUACGGACGAAGUGGCCCAAAUCGAGCACUUCAACUCUCAAGCUACAACCAUACUCCUAGCCUCUCUAAGCAAGGAGGAAUACAACAAGGUGCAAGGGUUGAAGAAUGCAAAGGAGAUUUGGGACCUACUCAAGACCGCGCACGAGGGUGAUGAACUCACCAAAAUCACCAAGCGGGAAACGAUCGAGGGGGAGCUCGGCCGCUUCCGUCUUUGCCAAGGGGAGGAGCCACAAGAUAUGUACAACCGGCUCAAAACCUUGGUGAACCAAGUGCGCAACCUCGGGAGCAAGAAGUGGGACGACCACGAGGUGGUUAAGGUUAUUCUAAGAUCUCUCAUUUUCCUUAACCCCACUCAAGUUCAAUUAAUUCGUGGUAAUCCUAGAUACACACUAAUGACUCCCGAGGAAGUAAUCGGGAAUUUUGUGAGCUUUGAAUGUAUGAUCAAGGGCUCAAAGAAGAUCAACGAGCUUGAUGAACCCUCCACGUCCGAAGCACAACCGGUGGCAUUUAAGGCGACGGAGAAGGAGGAGGAGUCUACACCAAGUAGACAACCAAUUGACGCCUCCAAGCUCGACAAUGAGGAGAUGGCUUUAAUCAUCAAAAGCUUUCGCCAAAUCCUCAAGCAACGGAAGGGGAAGGAUUACAAAUCCCGUUCCAAGAAGGUUUGCUACAAGUGUGGUAAGCCCGGUCAUUUCAUUGCAAAAUAUCCUAUAUCUAGUGACAGUGACAGGGGCGACGACAAGAAGGGAAAGAGGAGAGAAAAGAAGAGGUACUACAAGAAGAAGGGCGGCGAUGCCCAUGUUUGCCGGGAGUGGGACUCGGACGAGAGCUCCACCGACUCCUCCUCCGACAAGGACGCCGCCAACAUCGCCAUCACCAAGGGACUCCUCUUCCCCAACGUCGGCCACAAGUGCCUCAUGGCAAAGGACGGCAAACGGAAGAAGGUUAAAUCUAAAUCCUCCACUAGAUAUGAGUCCUCUAGUGAUGAUAAUGCUAGUGAUGAGGAAAAUAAUUUGCGUACCCUUUUUGCCGACCUAAACAUGCAACAAAAAGAAAAACUAAAUGAAUUAAUUAGUGCCAUCCAUGAGAAGGAUGAUCUCUUGGACUCCCAAGAGGACUUCCUAAUCAAGGAAAAUAAAAAGCAUGUUAAGGUUAAAAAUGCUUAUGCUCUACAAGUUGAAAAUGUGAAAAAUUGUCUUGUGAGCUAAGCACUUGCCAUGAGACCAUUGAUAACCUUAGAAAUGAAAAUGCUAGUUUAAUUGCUAAGAUUGAUUCUUAUGUUUGUGAUGCUUCAAUUCCCAAUCUUAGAAAUGAUAAUGAUGAUUUGCUUGCUAAGAUUAAGGGAUUGAAUGAUUCUCUUGCUAGCCUUAGAGUAGAAAAUGAAAAUUUGAUUGCUAAGGCUAAAGAUUUUGAUGUUUGCAAUACUACUAUUUCCGACCUUAGAACUAAGAAUGAUAUGUUGCAUGCUAAGGUUGUAGAACUAAAAUCUUGCAAACCCUCUACAUCUACCGUUGAGCACACUUCUAUUUGUACUAGAUGUAGAGAUGUUGAUAUCAAUGCUAUUCAUGAUCACAUGGCUUUAAUUAAACAACAAAAUGAUCAUAUAGCAAUAUUAGAUGCUAAAAUUGCCGAGCAUAACUUAGAAAAUGAAAAGUUUAAAUUUGCUAGAAGUAUGCUCUAUAAUGGGAGACGCCCUGGCAUCAAGGAUGUCAUUGGCUUCCAAAGGGGAGACAAUGUCAAACUUAAUGUCCCUCCUAAAAACUUGUCUAACUUUGUUAAGGGCAAGGCUCCCAUGUCUCAGGAUAACGAGGGGUACAUUUUGUACCCUGCCGGUUAUCCCGAGAGCAAAAUUAAGAAAAUUCAUUCUAGGAAGUCUCACUGUGGCCCUAAUCAUGCUUUUAUGUAUAAGGGUGAGGCAUCUAGCUCUAGGCAACCAACCCGUGCCAAGUUGCCUAAGAAGAAAACUCCUAAUGCAUCAAAUGAUCAUAGCAUUUCAUUUAAGACUUUUGAUGCAUCUUAUGUUUGGACUAACAAAUCCAACAAGGUAGUUGCCAAGUUUGUUGGGGGCAAACACAAGGGCUCCAAGACUUGUGUUUGGGUACCCAAAGUUCUUGUUUCUAAUGCCAAAGGACCCAAAACCGUUUGUGUACCUAAAGUCAAGAACUAAAAUUGUUUUGUAGGUCUAUGCAUCCGGGGGCUCAAGUUGGAUACUCGACAGCGGGUGCACAAACCACAUGACAGGGAGAAGAAGAUGUUCUCCUCAUAUGAGAAAAACCAAGAUCCCCAACGAGCUAUCACAUUCGGGGAUGGAAAUCAAGGUUUGGUCAAAGGUUUGGGUAAAAUAGCUAUAUCCCCUGACCAUUCCAUUUCCAAUGUUUUUCUUGUUGAUUCAUUAGAUUAUAAUUUGCUUUCCGUAUCUCAAUUAUGCAAAAUGGGCUACAACUGUCUCUUUACUGAUGUAGGUGUCACUGUCUUUAGAAGAAGUGAUGAUUCAAUAGCAUUUAAGGGAGUGUUAGAGGGUCAGCUAUACUUGGUAGAUUUUGAUAGAGCUGAACUCGACACUUGCUUAAUUGCUAAGACUAACUUGGGUUGGCUCUGGCACCGCCGACUAGCCCAUGUUGGAAUGAAGAAUCUUCAUAAGCUUCUAAAGGGAGAACACAUUUUAGGACUAACAAAUGUUCAUUUUGAGAAAGACAGGAUUUGUAGCGCAUGCCAAGCCGGGAAGCAAGUUGGCACUCAUCAUCCACACAAGAACAUCAUGACAAGUGACAGGCCACUGGAGCUCCUACACAUGGAUUUAUUCGGCCCGAUCGCUUACAUAAGCAUCGGCGGGAGUAAGUACUGUCUAGUUAUUGUGGAUGAUUAUUCUCGCUUCACUUGGGUGUUCUUUUUGCAGGAAAAAUCCCAUACCCAAGAGACCUUAAAGGGAUUCUUGAGACGAGCUCAAAAUGAGUUCGGCUUAAGGAUCAAGAAAAUUAGAAGCGACAACGGGACGGAGUUCAAGAACUCACAAAUAGAAGGCUUCCUUGAUGAGGAGGGCAUCAAGCAUGAGUUCUCUUCUCCCUACACCCCACAACAAAAUGGUGUAGUGGAGAGGAAGAAUCUAACUCUAUUGGACAUGGCAAGAACCAUGCUUGAUGAGUACAAGACAUCGGAUCGGUUUUGGGCCGAGGCGGUCAACACCGCCUGCUACGCCAUCAACCGGUUAUAUCUACACCGAAUCCUCAAGAAGACAUCCUAUGAACUCCUAACCGGUAAAAAGCCCAAUAUUUCAUAUUUUAGAGUUUUUGGUAGCAAAUGCUUUAUUCUUGUUAAGAGAAGUAGAAAAUCCAAAUUUGCUCCUAAAACUGUAGAAGGCUUUUUACUAGGAUAUGACUCAAACACAAGGGCAUAUAGAGUCUUUAACAAGUCCUCAGGACUUGUUGAAGUUUCUUGUGACGUUGUGUUUGAUGAAACUAACGGCUCUCAAGUAGAGCAAGUUGAUCUUGAUGAGAUAGGUGAAGAACAGGCUCUGUGCAUUGCGCUAAGGAACAUGUCCAUUGGGGAUGUGUGUCCUAAGGAAUCCGAAGAGCCUCCAAAUGCACAAGAUCAACCAUCCUCCUCCAUGCAAGCAUCCCCACCAACUCAAAAUGAGGAUGAGGCUCAAGUUGAUGAAGGAGUAAAUCAAGGAGAUGAGCCACCUCAAGAUGACGGCAAUGAUGAAGGGGGAGAUGCCAAUGAUCAAGACAAGGAGGAUGAAGAACCAAGACCGCCACACCCAAGGGUCCACCAAGCAAUACAACGAGAUCACCCCGUCGACACCAUCCUCGGCGAUAUUCAAAAGGGGGUAACUACUCGAUCUCAUGUUGCACAUUUUUGUGAGCAUUACUCUUUUGUUUCCUCUAUUGAGCCACACAGGGUAGAGGAAGCACUUCAAGAUUCGGAUUGGGUGAUGGCGAUGCAAGAGGAGCUCAACAACUUCACCAGGAAUGAGGUAUGGCAUUUAGUUUCGCGUCCUAACCAAAAUGUUGUAGGAACCAAAUGGGUCUUCUGCAACAAGCAAGAUGAGCAUGGUGUGGUGACAAGGAACAAAGCUCGACUUGUGGCCAAGGGAUACUCUCAAGUCGAAGGUUUGGAUUUUGGUGAAACCUAUGCACCCGUAGCUAGGCUCGAGUCAAUUCGUAUAUUAUUAGCCUAUGCUACUUACCAUGGCUUCAAGCUUUACCAAAUGGACGUGAAGAGUGCCUUCCUCAAUGGACCAAUCAAGGAGGAGGUCUAUGUUGAGCAACCUCCCGGCUUUGAAGAUAGUGAGUAUCCUAAUCAUGUCUAUAGGCUCUCCAAGGCGCUUUAUGGGCUCAAGCAAGCCCCAAGAGCAUGGUAUGAAUGCCUUAGAGACUUCCUUAUUGCAAAUGGCUUCAAAGUCGGCAAGGCCGAUCCUACUUUAUUCACUAAAACUCUUGACAAUGAUUUGUUUGUAUGCCAAAUUUAUGUUGAUGAUAUUAUAUUUGGGUCUACUAACGAAUCUACAUGUGAAGAAUUUAGUAGGAUCAUGACACAGAAAUUCGAGAUGUCUAUGAUGGGGGAGUUGAAGUAUUUUCUAGGAUUCCAAGUCAAGCAACUCCAAGAGGGCACCUUCAUUAGCCAAACGAAGUACACUCAAGACAUUCUAACCAAGUUUGGAAUGAAGGAUGCCAAGCCCAUCAAGACACCCAUGGGAACCAAUGGGCAUCUCGACCUCGACACGGGAGGUAAGUCCGUGGAUCAAAAGGUAUAUCGGUCGAUGAUUGGUUCAUUGCUUUGUCUAUGUGCAUCUCGACCGGACAUUAUGCUUUCCGUUUGCAUGUGUGCAAGAUUCCAAGCGGACCCUAAGGAAUCACACCUUACGGUCGUAAAACGAAUCUUGAGAUAUUUGGCUUAUACUCCUAAGUUUGGGCUUUGGUACCCUCAGGGAUCCACAUUUGAUUUGAUUGGUUAUUCGGAUGCCGAUUGGGCGGGGUGUAAGAUUAAUAGAAAGAGCACAUCGGGGACUUGCCAGUUCUUGGGAAGAUCCUUGGUGUCUUGGGCUUCAAAGAAGCAAAAUUCUGUCGCUCUUUCUACCGCCGAAGCCGAGUAUAUUGCCGCAGGCCACUGUUGCGCGCAAUUGCUUUGGAUGAGGCAAACCCUGCGGGACUACGGUUACAAACUAACCAAAGUUCCUCUUCUAUGUGAUAAUGAGAGUGCAAUCCGCAUGGCGGACAAUCCCGUUGAGCACAGCCGCACUAAACACAUAGCCAUUCGGUAUCAUUUUCUUAGGGAUCACCAACAAAAGGGGGAUAUUGAGAUUUCAUACAUUAACACUAAAGAUCAAUUAGCCGAUAUCUUUACCAAGCCACUAGAUGAACAAACUUUUACCAAACUUAGGCAUGAGCUCAAUAUUCUUGAUUCUAGGAAUUUCUUUUGCUAAUUCGCACACAUAGCUUAUAAAUAUACCUUUGAUCAUGUCUCUUUUAUAUGCUAUGACUAAUGUGUUUUCAAGUAUAUUUCAAACUAAGUCAUAGGUAUAUUGAAAGGGAAUUGGAGUUUUCGGCGAAGACAAAGGCUUCCACUCCACUCUACUACUCAUCCUUCGCCGUCGCUCCGCAUCACUCUCCAUCUUUGGUAUAAUCUUCACUUAUAUGUUUUCCUUGCCAAAGGGGAGAAAGUAGCAAGAAAGGGCCUAUAUUUCAUUCCAAGUAUCCGUUUUUGGCGAUUCAUGCCAAAGGGGGAGAAAGUAUUGGCCCAAAGCAAAAGGACCGCACCACCACCCUAAUUUUAAAAAUUAAUGAUUUUCAAUUGGUAAAUUUCAAAUUGGUAUAUCUUUAUGUUCUAAAGGGGGAGCAAGUAGUAUUUUCAAAAUUGUUGUCUUAAAACCCUCUUGAACACUAAGAGGAGAAUUUAUUUGAGGGGGAGUUUUGUUUAGUCAAAGGAAAAGCAUUUGAAACAGGGGGAGAAUUUCAAAUCCUGAAAAUGCUUCUCGAAAUAUUAUUCAUCUAUCUUUGACUAAUUGCAAAAAGACUUUGAAAAAGAUUUACAAAAGAAUUUGCAAAAACAAAACGUGUGGUGCAUGCGUGGUCCAAAAUGUUAAAAAUAAAGAAUCAAUCCAUGCAAGAAUUCUUAUUGGCGCAAUUCUAAGUAACCUUUACACUGACAUUAUGCAAACUAGUUCAAUUAUGCACUUCUAUACUUGCUUUGGUUUGUGUUGGCAUCAAUCACCAAAAAGGGGGAGAUUGAAAGGGAAUUAGGAUUACACCUAGUUCCUAAUUAAUUUUUGGUGGUUGAAUUGCCCAACACAAAUAAUUGGACUAACUAGUUUGCUCUAGAUUAUAUGUUCUACAGGUGUCAAAGGUUCAUCUACAACUAUACUAAAUCGACUGUCCGGAAUACCGUAGAUUAUUCCGGACAGGAGAAGCUUUUUGGAAAAACAGGCCAAGCGCGGACCGUCCGGGCCCUUGCGGCGGACCGUCCGCGACACAAGGAUGACCCUCGGACAGAACCAAUGCAAAAAUCCGAGUCUGCACUAUGGACCGUCCGGAGGAUAAGAGCGGACCGUCUGAGACCUCGCUCGGACCGUCCGGCCUCAGGCGCGGACCGUCCGGUAGGCAAGGAUCCGAAAAACCCGAAGGUGACGGGUUCGGAAGAAUGAAUUAUAGCGGCCUCGCGGACCGUCCGGGGUGCACGACCGGACCGUCCGCGACUGGGUCUGUCUGACAUCUGACGACGCAUUAAAUGCAAUAUAGCCGUUGAUAUAGCCGUUAUUGCUGACCGUUGCAUUUUCAGCCGUUGAUCUACAGGGGCGGACCGUCCGGACCUGGCGGGCGGACCGUCCGCGCUCAGCAGAAUGGAGUAACGGCUAGGAAGUGGUUGGUGGCUAUAAAUACAACCCCAACCACCUCCAUUCACUUCACCCAAGCAUUCCAACCUUCAACAUUCAAUACAAGAGCUAGCAAUCCAUUCCAAGACACAUUCAAAGCUUCCAUCUCUCCAAGUUUCACAAUUGAGAAAAGAGAUCAUUAGUGAUUAGUGACUUGAGAGAGAAAGUGAUCCGUGUGUUAUUUGUCGCUCUUGUCGCUUGGUUUUUGCAUUCGUGUUUUCUUUCAAUCUUCAUUGUGAUCAAACUCACUUGUAAUUGAGGCAAGAUACACCAAUCUUGUGGUGGUCCUUGUGGGAACUUUGUGUUCCAAGCAUUUGAGAAGAGAAAGCUCACUCGGUCCGAGGGACCGUUUGAGAGAGGGAAAGGGUUGAAAGAGACCCGGCCUUUGUGGCCUCCUCAACGGGGAGUAGGUUUAAAAGAACCGAACCUCGGUAAAACAAAUCCGCGUGUCUCACUUCAUUAUUCGCUUGCGAUUUGUUUUGCACCCUCUCUCACGGACUCUAUUAUAUUUCUAACGCUAACCCGGCUUGUAGUUGUGAUUAUUUUUGAGAAUUUCAGUUUCGCCCUAUUCACCCCCCCUCUAGGCGACUUUCACCCACAAACAAUUAGCCGAUAUCUUUACCAAGCCACUAGAUUAGAAAACCUUUAGCAAACAUAGAAAUGAGCUAAAUAUACUUGAUUCUCGGAACUUUGAUUGAAACAUUGCACACAUAGCUAAUUUAUAUACCUUUGAUCAUAUCUCUUUCAUUUGGUGCAACUGCAUAUUUCUUAUUCUUCUUGUGCCAAUACUACGACUAAUGUGUUUUCAAGUGUAUUUCUAUACUAAGUCGUAGAUUGAAAGGGAAAUGGAGUUUUCGGCAAAGACAAGGCUUCCACUCCAACUCUGACAAUAUCAUUUACCCUUUGCCGUUACUCCUACAACUCUCAUGGUAUAACCCUUCACUCAUAUUCAUCUUACCAUUUGUGAGAAAAUAUUAGGCCCCAAAGGGGGAGAAAACUGCAAGAGGGCUCUCAAGUUCUCCGUUUUUGGCGCUUAAUGCCAAAGGGGGAGAAAAUAUUAAGCCCAAAGCAAAAGGACCGCACCACCAUUUAAAAUUUCAAAAAUAAGUAUUUCAAUUUGUAUUUGAUCAAAAUGAAAUUUUCAAUUGGUAUGUGAAAAAUUCUCAAUUGGUAUCUUCAAAACUUCACAUUAAGUAUGAAAGAAUUUCAAUUAGUAUAUUUUCAAUAAGUAUCUAACUUUCAACUCAUAUGUGAGAGAAAAAUUUCAAUUGGUAUCUACUUCAAAACCCUCUUGAAAGCUAAGGGGAGAAUUUCAAUCAGGGGGAGCUUUUAUGUAGUCAAAGAAAAAGCAUUUGAAACACGGGGAGGAAUUUCAAAAUAAAAAAAUGCAUCUUGCAAUCAUAUUUCUAUACCUUUGACUAUUUGCAAAAUUUUUGAAUAGAUUUCCAAAAGAUUUGCAAAAACAAACUUGUGGUCCAAAAUAUUAAAUAAAAGAAAGCCAAACCAUUCACUCUUACUCAUAUGUUGAAAAUCUUUCAUUGGUUUAAUUCCAAGUAACCUAUGCACAUUCAUCUCAAUUGCAAACUAGUUAUAUUUCUGCACUUCAUAUUUGCUUUGGUUUGUGUUGGCAUCAAUCACCAAAAAGGGGGAGAUUGAAAGGGAAAUCGGGUUAACCAUUUCCUAUAAUUAAUUUUGGUGGUUGAUGAUCAACACAAACACAUGGACUAACUAGUUUGUCUAGAUAUGAUCUACUACAGGUGCAUAAGGUUCAACACAAACCAAUAGAGAAAUCCGGUUAGGGAUACAAUAAAAAAUGGAGCAAAGAACUUGAGUGUGCUGAAAAAUGGUGCACCGGACUGUCCGGUGUGCCACCGGACAGUGUCCGGUGCACCAGGCCGUACAACAGAUGAACCAGCCACUCUCGGGAAUUUCAGGGGCGCGCUCCGCUAUAAUUCACCGGACUGUCCGGUGUGCCAGCGGAGCAACGACUAGCUCGCGCCAACGGUCGACUGUGCAGAGUGAACAGUAAUGAACAGUGUCGCGCAGAAGUCAGAGAGCACCGGACUGUCCGGUGCACCAAGACGACAAAGGCUCCAACGGUCGACCAACUCCGAACCCUAACGGUUGCGCUGACGUGACGCGCACCGGACAAUGCAUAGUGGAUGUCCGGUGGCGCACCGGACUAUCCGGUGCGCCCAUCGCCAGCAGAAUUCAGCCAACGGCUAGAAGUGGUUGGGAGGCUAUAAAUACCCCCAACCACCUCAUUCACUUCCAUCCAAGCAUUUCUGAAUUCUCAUUCAUUGCAAGAGAAAAGUCUAACACUCUAAGACACAAUCAAAACAAUCAAUCCACUCAAAAGCUCCAAAAUCAACUCUAGUGCAUUAGGGUUUGUGAGAGGAUCACUUGUGUUCUUUGUUUCUCUUGGCGCUUGUUUUGGCCUUUUUCUUUUCCCUUCUAUUUCUCAAGUGACUUGUAAUCGAAGCAAGAGACACCUAAUUGUGUGGUGGUCCUUGCGGGGUCUAAGUGACCCGAGAGAUUAAGGAAAAGGCUCACUCAGUCUAAGUGACCGUUUGAGAGAGGGAAAGGGUUGAAAUAGACCCGGUCUUUGUGACCUCCUCAACGGGGACUAGGUUCUUUGGAACCGAACCUUGGUAAAAAAAAUCAUCGUGUUCUCUCGUCUUGAUUCUUGUUUGAUUUGUUUUCCCCUCUGUAAUGUUCCCUUGCUAGUGUGAAUUUGAGUUUGCUUCCAUACGUCAUCCACAAUCCUUGAGCAACUCCUAGCAAGAGAGAUAUUCUUUUGGACUUGAAUUUAAUUCUAACGCUAACCCCCGAUCUUAGUGUGUGUUUAAGUUUACAAAUUUCAGGAUUUGCCUAUUCACCCCCUCUAGGCGACUUUUAGAAUGCCAAUCCUACUUUGUUCAUUAAGAUGUUUGAUGAUAUUAUAUUUGGUUCUACUAACCAUUUGUCUUGUGAAGAGUUUUUUAGGAUUAUGGUCAAUAAGUUUGAGAUAUCGAUGAUGAGGGAGUUGAAGUUCUUUGUAGGAUUUCAAAUCAAACAACUCAAGGAUGGCAUCUUCAUCUCACAAUCGGAGAACACUCAAGACAUUUUGAAGAAAUUUGGGAUGAAGGACACCAAACCCAUUAAGACGCCCAUGGGAACCAACGAACGUCUCGACCCUGAUAUAGUAGGUAAAUCAGUUGAUCAAAAGGUAUAUCGAUAUACGGUUGGCUCUUUACUCUAUUGAUGUGCACCUAGACUAGAUAUUAUACUUUCUGUAUGCAUGUGUGCAGGAUUCCAAGCCGAUCACAAAGAAUGCCAUCUUAGAGCCGUUAAAAGAAUAUUAAUAUAUUUAGUUCAUACUCCUAAUUUUAGGCUUUGGUAUCUAAAGGGUUCAAACUUUGAUCUUAUAUUCUCAUUGGUAUCCAAAGAAUAAAAUCACUAUUUGUCUUCCAAACGAGGACAUAAACUCAAAAAUUAAGCAACUUUAGUUUUGCAUCCGUGCAAAAAUAAUGGUUUAGAAGUGAAGUUUUCGGAACUCUAAGACUGGUUUCAAAAUCCCAUAAAUUUCAAAAUUAAAGGUCUUUACACAUUAUAUUUUAAAAACCCAAAAUAUUUCAUAAAAAUACGAUACUUGUUUAAAUAAAAGAACAAAAAUACUUUAGAUGCCUAGUCAUUCGAAUAAUUGUAGCUACAAGUGUACCUCCCUUCGCAAACCUAUUCUCCGAGUCCCACAUCGUCAUGCCGGAGAAAAUGAGAUUUCUAUGCUCCAAAUAAUAUGCUUUAUGUUACCUUUGGUUUUAAUGCUAUUUUGAACAUUUUUUACUUUUCCGUGCACUUCUGUCUUUUGUAUGUAUGUCCGUGAAGAAGCAUAAAAUAUCCAAAAAUAAUACUCUCUCUGUUUAAAUAUAUUAUCCGUCCUGAUUUUUUAUUUUUGUGUGUCCAUAUUCAAAUGAAUACCAAUGAUUCUAGACACACAUAUAUAAGGGACCAUUUGUUUCAACUUGCUAAACUUUAUCACUGCACUUUUACUAAAGUUUAGCUACUAAAGAAACAAAUAGGGUGGCUAAAACUGUUAUAAUAAACUUUAGCAUUUAUUAUCACUUUAGCUACACAAAAGAUGCUAAACUAUGUUAAAAGUGGUCCCAACCUCAUUUUGCAUUGAAUACCACUUUCUCUAUCCCUCACUAUUGGCUGCAUGCUUCUCGUGGACCGCAAGUGUUAAAAUUUAGCAUUUUAUCUAAACAACUAUUAAAGUUCAGCAAAAGUUUAGCACAUGCUAAAUUUUAACGGGUGUUAAACUUUAGCAAAAGUUUGACUUUUUUAUUUGACAAAAGUUUUUUAAUCCAAAUGCUAAACUUUAGUAAAAGCUUUUUUUUAUCCAAUCAGCUGUCUAAAUAGUUGUUAAAGUUUAGCAAAAGUUUUUUUAUUUGAUAUUUUUAGUGUAAAAUUAUAUUAUCCAGCAUCAAAUAAAAAGAAAUGGAGGUAGUAGAGGGAAUAUUAAGGAGUAACAUGUUUUGAGUCCGAUUUUUACUAUUUUUAGUAAGUCAACGUUACCUAUGGCAAUAUUGUUUGGAGUAAAAAAAAUUCCAAUUCUAUCGUCAUGCUGAGUUGCUGACGGUCGCUUGACGAGUUUGCGAUUUUGGAUCCCAUCCCAUCGUUUCCUCCUCCUCCCUCUGGCCUCCGGUCACGGCUCGAUCUCCCGUUCCAAUCACGCCCAUGGCAGCCGCCGCCUUCGGCUCCGCCACUGGUGGCGGGUCGCGGCUUGUGGACCGCUGCAUCGACGCGGCAGCGCGCGGUCCCGCCACUGUGGAGGCCUGGCGCCGGCAGCGCCGCUCCCUGGAGCGCCUCCCGGCCCCGCUCGCCGACGCGCUCUUACGCCGCCUAGCUGCGCGUCGCCUUCUCUUCCCCUCCCUCCUCGAGUAAGCCUGCUGCACCGCUUUCUAAACUCGUCCUCGUGCUGCGAAGUAAAGAUGCUCGACGCCCCGAUAGGGAGCUAUGGUUUUUUUUCCUCCAUUUUUUGCCUCGCCGCUUCCAGUCCCCCAUCUCUACCCACGCUCCCUCCCUCUCCGCGCCGCUCUUCCAGCCAUGGCGAUCACCACAGAGUCGCGGAAGCGGACAAGGCUUCCCAUGCGAUCGAGAAGCGGGGGGUACGGUCUGAUUUCGAGGUUGGGAAAUUCUUUGUAGUGGCCAAUUUUAGACAUGGUUUUCUAGGUAGAGAAAAUAAUAGUAGUCAGAUUGUGGCUUUGAAAGUUCUUUUCAAGGGCCAGCUCAAACAAUCUCAGGUCCAACAUCUGCUCCCAAUGUUCUUCGCCUGUAUGUGUACUUCUAUAACCACACCGGGGUUUACCUAAUCCUGGAAUAUGCUGCCAAGGGUGAACUAUACAAGGAGUUGACAAGAUGCAAGCAUUUCUGGAAGAGCCUUUCAGCAUGGCUAGAGGUCUGAUCUACCUUAGUGGGAAGCAUGUUAUCUAUCAGGACAUCAAACUAGAAAAUCUUUGGUUGGAGCCUUUGGUCAACUUAAAAUUGCUAACUUUGGCUGGUCCGGCAUCUUCAACAGGACUAUGUGAGUGCAUGAUCACGAAUGUUGACAUAUGGAACCUGGGUAUCCUGUAUUAUGAAUUCUUUUAUGUGGUCACACCUUUUGAAGUAACAAGCACUCAGAAACAUACAAAAGAAUAGUAAUUGAAACCUUUCAUUUCACUUGCCAUAGAGGACUUGAUUUCUCAGAAGAACUCAGCGCACUGGCUUCCCCUCCACAAGGUUCUUUCAACACCCGUGUAUUGUCUAGAACGCUGACCCUUACAGCAUGUACAGAGGGUAGAUGCACCACAAGUUGAAGGCUGCUUCUCCUCCACACUCACCAAUUGGAGGGGAGUGCGGUUCUUCUACUAUUGUUUGUGGCUCCAGCCCUACCAACUAAGCUUCUGUCGCCCAAACUACCCAACCCAAAUUGCAUCUUGUAGCACCAUGUAGCUCAACAGAUAUACCAAUCAUGUGGAUUAGCAUUUGUAUGAUGGGGCCGUGACCUUGUAUGGCAAGUUGCGCUGUACUAAUGUAGCAUUCAUAUUAAACAACUUUCUUUACUCAUUUAUAUGGAUAAUAUAUACCUGUUAAAAAAUGUAACACUUUUAUGGGGUUUGCUAUUGUUCCUCAUGUUAGUUCAUGGCUGAAUCAUGUCUCCCGUCGUGUGUAGGGUGUUUGGCCGGUCAGUAGAGGAGGUUGAUCUGAGUGGAUUUCUUUCUGUGAAUUCCGAGUGGUUGGCAUACCUUGGCUCCUUCAGGUACCUUAGGGUUCUGAAGUUGGCGGACUGCAAGAACAUCAACAAUGACGCUGUCUGGUCGCUCUCUGGUGAGAUGCUGAAGCUUCUUUGAUCAUAUGAUUACACUGUGGGCAUGGGUGGAUCCAGAAUAGAGAACCAUCAAUGUCAUGUCAAUGGUGUUCAAAAGAACAAUUGGUGGUCGUGUUUCUAUUAGAUCACACUUUAGCCUUGGAUUUUAAAUUUCAUUUAUGUCAAGUGACAACAUCAAAAAUUCAAAAUAGCCUUGCUUUGCCCCCUGCUUUUGAGUUUUGUGAUUUGCAACAUAAUUUGCUUGUUACUUUAGGAAUGAACACAUUAAAGGAGCUGGACUUGUCAAGGUGCAAAAAGAUUUCUGAUGCUGGCAUCAAACAUAUAGUGACCAUUGAAAGCUUAGAGAAGCUACACUUAUCUGAGACUGAAUUGACUGACAAUGGAGUGAUGCUCAUUUCUUCACUGACAAAUCUAAGUUUCCUUGAUCUAGGUGGAAUUCUCAUGACAGACAAAACCCUACAGUCUUUACAGGUAUUAAGUCUUAUGGUGUGCCACCAUUUUCUUUUGCUAUCCAGGUGCUUGUGUCGAAAUUGCCAACCAUACAUUCAACCUAAUAAUAUGUGCCAACUGAUAUCUUUUUGGUUGCAUGUACCAGACUAUUGAUUUCUUAUAGUUGUAUUAUUGUUAUAGGUAUUGACAAAACUUGAGCAUCUUGAUAUAUGGGGUAGUGAAACUACAAAUGAGGGAGCUUCUGCUCUGAAAUCCUUUGCAAGGCUGCUAUCCUUGAAUCUUGCGUUGACACGUGUCAACCAUUUAUCAAUUCCUCCAACCACAAGCUAUCUAAAUAUGAGCAACUGCGAAAUUCAUUCUAUUUGUGAUGUGGAUUCUGAAGUUCCUGUUCCACUAGAAAACUUUAUUGUCUCUGCAGCUACAUUUGGCAAUAUUGAUAAAGUAUUUUCUAGCAUCCAAGCAAGCUCACUGAUACAUUUGGACUUGUCUAGCUGCAAGUUAAGCAACUUGUCUUUCUUGGAAAAGAUGAAGAAUCUAGAGCAUCUGGACCUUAGCUACAACAUAAUAACUGAUGGUGCAAUUGAACAUAUUGCGAAGAUUGGAACAAACUUGCAAUAUUUGAGCCUCAAGAAUACUGGAAUAACUUCCCAGGCACUAUGUAUUCUGGCAGGGACAGUUCCAAACCUCACCUCACUGUCUUUAGCUAAUACAAAAAUUGAUGACUCUGCUCUAGCAUAUAUUGGCAUGAUACCUUUGCUGAGAACGAUAGAUUUAAGCCAGACAAGUAUCAAAGGUUGUGCUCUUGCUUACUAAAAUUUUUUGUUUCCUUGAUUACAUUAAUUUACUUUUGGCCACAAAAAAAUAAAUUUUACCUUAUGGCAGGUUUUAUUCACACUGAAGUAAAUUCCGAGAAGUUGUUGUCUAUGUCUGCAUUUGAGCAUCUCAAAUAUCUGGAAAGUCUAAAUCUGGAGGAUACACCGCUAUCAGCUGAAGUUAUACCUCCCUUGGCAUCCUUUGCAACACUGAAAUAUUUGUACCUGAAAAGUGAUUUCUUGUCUGAUCCUGCCUUGCACGCACUCUCUGCUGCCUCCAAUUUGAUACACCUUGGGUUCCGCGGGAAUAUAUUGUCAAGCUUUGGGCUUUUACAGUUUGUACCCCCUGUCACACUCUGUGUGUUGGAUUUAAGCGGCUGUUGGAUCUUAACAGGCGAUGCUAUUUCAACAUUCCGUAAGCGUCAUCCUACGAUUGAAUUGAGACAUGAGCUCCUGCACGAAGUUGAGGAAAAUUUUGUUGGUGGUUCCCAAUUUCGUAAACCUAGACGCAGACGAUCUCCUCAUGUGAAAGCAGAAGUUGGAAACAGUUUUGCUGGCUCAAGUAGGCUACACGAUAUCCGUUUUGUAGGUGAGGAUGCUAGAUAGUUUGUUGUGUCCCUCACUCUCUGUUAUAAAUACAGUCCUAGUCAGGGACUCUGCAUUUUACAAUAUAUUGACACUGGUUUGCCUUUCAUUUGAGCAGAUGAAAGGAUAAAAUACAGCAAGGAGGAAUUUGUGGAGCUGCAAGGCCUUGCUAAACCAAAUUCGUUAAUGCUUGGCGUGUGGCUUCCACCAGAACUGCGAAGGCCCAAAUGAUAGUUUUGGAUCUUGAUUCCUUACGCAUUUACUGCCAGCAUAUCAUAAUCUUCCUUGAGUUAUUCUUGAUAUGACAGACUUUUGAGAAUUAAGCAUCAAGCAUGUCACUCAGUUCCAAAUUAUAGUUCACUUUGGUUUUGUCCUAGGUCAAACUUUUCUAGCUUUGACCUAUGCAUUCGAAUAAAUGCUAUACCAAAAUGUAUUUCGUGAAGAAUCUAAAGAAACUGAUUUGAUGUUCUAGAUGGUGGUACACUUUCCUUUAAACUUGGUCAAACAUAAAGAAGUUUGACUUAUGAAACCAAAGUUAACUAUAAUUUGGAACAAAGGGAGUACACUGGAGUUAUCUAAAACAAAUUUUCGAUAAAUUAGUUUUAACAUUUGCAUUGGGCUCUCAUCAGUUGAUCCUGAAUCCAGUUCUCCGAUCUGUGAUAUAAAAUAUCAUUUUCUGGAGUUUCCUUUUGGUCACGUGAAACUUUUACACACUUUGGCCUUUGGGCGCUUUCUAACUAAGGUCCCGUUGGUUUUCUUUCAUUUCGAGGAAUUGGAAUCUUACUAAUGGAAUAGACUAUUUUUUUAGAAUGUAACAUUCCACCACUUUCUAAAGUUAUCAUAUAAGCCUAUCUCAAAUUCAUGGGGUGAGAAAUGGAAAUUGAUUCUAUAGAUUUACAUACUAUUUUUCUGAUGUACAACUUAUAGCACACUCUUCUACUUUCUUCAAUAUAACAUAAAUGUAGUAUAUAACUAUCUCUCUCAUAUGAUUUAAGAUAAUAUACAAAUAUAUUACAUAUAUAAAUAUAUGAACUUAAUUAGUUUUGUCUAAAUUAUAAUUAUUAAAAUAGAAUUAAAUUCCAACGAAACAAACGGGGUCUAAAGGAAUUUCAUUGUGGUCUACCAUUGCCCAUGUAAACGUUCUCAUGGGCGUAUAUCCUUGCCACACCUAUUAUGUGCCAUUUUUUAAUCAAAGUUCAAUGAAAGAAUUACCUAAGUCAACAAUCUUGUUAUCGAUUAUAAUCAUGUAAUGAUCUAAAAGCUUUAAUGGCUGUACUGCAUGCUUAAACUCACAUGCAAGCGGUUUUAUGUCGAUUCAUCCAUAAAUUGAUACUCCCUUCGUUAUUUUUUAUUUGUCACGUUUUAGUUCAAAAAUAAACUAAUGGACGACAAAUAUUCGAGAAUAGAGGUAAUAUUAAAGAGCAUGCAGAUACGACGGUUUACCCCUGAAACUUCGCGUAUUUUGGACAAGUUUUUCUUGGUUUCAUCACCUGCAGUCGGCAAUUAGGUUGUGAAAAUUCUGCUUUCAUCUUGCGAUGGCAGUCUACCAAACUGAUGGAGAAGUCAAACACUCGAAACAGUUUAUAUUUAUUGUGAUAGGAGGGUGCAUAUCACCACAAAUUCUGUAACCGCAGUAUAAACUAUCACAACAGCUAAUGCUUUGUAUAAACUACGAUUUUGUGAAGGUGCUACAGAAACUAUGAACAUGUCUUGAGCUAAGCAUGACUACGUGAGCCACAGCCACCUUGCUUCUUAAUUACUAGUAUUCUCCGCAUGAGCAUUCCCCCAUCGCCCUGUGGAGAUUGUUGCUAAUCCUCUCUCAAAAUUAUCUCCCUACCAGUGGCCUUAGAGACAUACUUGGAUGCUGAAUUAUAAUCAGUGCAUACACGUUUGUUGCUGAUGUACAACUGAUCAAACCGAAUGCAGCAGCAAUCUUCUCGCUGUGCUGAUGCAGACACAGCUCCUUGAGCUCAUCCGAAAUGUCAUGGAGCGCUAUAAUGGUGUCUGGUAGAUGGCCCAUGAUUUAUGCUUUGUCUUAUGAGUGUCUCCAAGUUGAUAUAGAUCUCCUCUGCUUGUGGAUGGCUGGUAUCACCAGCUCAAAACUCGUGAAUGGUGUUCUCAACAUGCACCCAGCUUGACCCUUUUGAUUCCAUAGGCUGUUCCCACUCUAUUGUAUCUUGCCAUAAUAUUUAAAGCUGCCAUGCCAUAUAAAAAUACAUAAAAUAUAACUAUCCCAUGCAUGGUAUCGUAGAAUAACAUUUGAUCAUCUAUAGAAUAUUAAAUGAUAAUAUACGUGAGAGUAUAACUGUAUAAGAUGUGGGACCUCUUCUAUAAUUAAAAUUUCAAUGUAUAUAUAUGAUCCAUAUCUAAGUAGUAGUAACUUUCUCAAGAGUCAAGAUACAACCUUUUCUAUUUCCUUUUAACUCUCUUGCAACAUCAUAAAAAAUAUUUAUGUGGCAUAUAUUAAAUGUGUAUGAUACUAUGAAUUGACAAUAGCCUUAUCCUAGCUACUUGAUCCCAAAAACCAGCAUAAAAGGAGCCUGUUGGGGGCCUUUUUCUACGAAGAUCCUCAAAACACCAAGAUAAUUGUUGUUUUCUGGUAUGUUUCUAAAUGUCACAGGUACCCUCGUCCGAAGUACCUUUGGAUGGAUUAGUCAUAGGCACGGAAGCAUGCUUCGGAAUAUAACUGACAAGGAGCGUGGUUCUCAGUUAUCCGUCCGUACAAAUAUUUUUUUCUACUGGUCCCUAGCGCUGACGGUUCUGAAAAACGACAGUACAAAUGUGUUCACAACCACCUAUAUAGAGCUUCUCUAUACUAAUAUAAAUUAUCCUUCGGCGUGAUUUAGAGGAGAAGGUUUCUGUUCUCUAAAUUAACCAAGAGACCAACAGGGCUGGAUCUUGUGGUUCGAGCUGUUUGACAUGGUCAGCAGCAAUCACCGAUAUCCAUGUUGUUGCGGGUCCUACAGGCACCAAAGAGUGUCUUCCAGACCAAUGCGUCUGCUUGACAAGGCAUUUCGUUGAUGAAAUCUAGUGCUUCUUCUACAAGGCCUGAUCGCCCAAGCAGAUCAACCAUGCAAGCAUAAUGCUCCAUGGUAUGAGUCCAUGAUCCUUCUGCAUCAUUCUAAAGUGCUCCUUCCCUUCUUUAACUAGAUCGGCGUGGCUACAGAUAAAACAGCAAUGUAUGUGACAUCAUUUAGUUUCACACUUUCACUCCAUCUGUGAUCAUGUCAUGAAACAAUUCCAGAGCUCUUGUUGGAUACAGUUGGAGAAUGGAAACCCUAACCCUAACUCAGGGAGAUGUAUUAAUAGACUCAGAUUGUUGGGUCUAGCCCAUUACGCAGGGGUAUAUAUUACUAUAAUUACAAGGGGCUAACCCCAAAACCCUAAGCGGGUACUCUAAUACCCAUAUAGUCUCAACUCUAUCGUGUACAGAUGUUGAGGCUGAAUCGAAACUCGUCGAAUACACUCGACGGUAGCCCCUUAGUGAAGAUGUCAGCGAACUGCAACGUGGUGGGGACGCUGAGAACCCGAACGUCGUCGACGGUGACACACUCGCGGACGAAGUGCAGGUCGAUCUCCAUAUGCUUCAUGCACUGAUGUUGCACGAGAUUGGUAGAGAGGUAGACCGUGCUGACAUUGUCGCAGUAGACGAGGGUGCCACAUUGAAGGGGGAUGUGGAGCUCCUGGAGGAGCUGGUGCAGCAAGAAGGCCUCUGCCAAGCCGUUGAGCACAUAUCCCAGCUAUGGACGAGCGGUGUCGACAAAGCCAGUGGGCUGGCUGCAGUAGACAAUCUCCAUCAGAGUGCAAUGGAGGAAGGCAUUAUUGACGUUGAGCUGAUGGAUCGCCUAGUACCGAGAGAGGGCGAGGGAGAGGAAGACUCACACGGUGGCAAACUUGACAACGGGGCUAAAGGUCUCAUCUGGGGCGUUGGGUGAAGCUCCAAAGGAUCCAACAGGCCUUGUAGCGGUUGAGGGAGCCAUCUAAAGUCAGCUUGUGGCAAAAGAGCCACUUGCCGGUGACCAUGUUAGUGCUUGGUGGACACGACACCAGGUCCUAGGUGUGGUUGGCCAGCUAGGCCACGUACUCCAUAGCGUGACACUAAUUGGUGUCGGUGAGGGCGAUGCGAACGGAGGAGGGGACCGGGAGGUGUCUAGAGGAGGGGCAGUCGUGUUAGCCGCCAUGGUCAACAGGUCGAUGGGGCAGAGAACAUCGACUGCGAGUGUAAGUCGCUUAUAGGGGCGGGGUGAAUAGGCGAAACCUAAAAAUUAUAAACUUUGAACACACACUAUACCCGAGAUUAGUGUUAGAAAUAAUUUGGAGUGCGGAAGAUAGUUUCUCUUGCAAUGAGUUGCUCAAUCAAUGCGGAUAACUUUGGGAGCAAACUCAAAACGAUGUGAGCACGAGAACUUUUAGAAGAGAGAGGAGAGGGGAGAAACAAAUGGAAUGGUGAAGAUUAAUACAAGUGGACACGUCGAUUUGUUUCCCGAGGUUCGGUUCCAAAGAACUCACUCCCCAUUGAGGAGGCCACAUAGGCCGAAUCUAUUUCAACCAUUUCCCUCUCUCAAUCGGUCACUUAGACCGGUCGAGUGCUUUUUCUCAAUCUCACGGGUCACUAAUAUCCUGCAAGUAUCACCACACAAUUAGGUGUCUCUUGUAAACUUUACAAAACACUUGGAGAGUUUAGAGAGAGAUGAAGAAAGCACGAUUAAGAAAACCAAGCAACAAGGGCAACAAAUGAAACACGAAUCACACUCUCUCAAGUCACUAAUCACUAAUGAUCACUUGUCUCAAUUGUGGAACUUGGAGAGAUUGGAAGCUUUGAAUGUGUCUUGGAAUGGAUUGCUAGCUCUUGUAUUGAAUGUGUAUGAGUGGAGUGCUUGGAUCUCGUGAACGGAGGUGAUUGAGGUUGUAUUUAUAGCCUCCAACCACUUCCUAGUCGUUGCUCCUUUUCUGCCCACUGCGGACGGUCCGCCCCUGCACUGAGUGGAGUGCUUGGAUCUCGUGAACGGAGGUGAUUGGGGUUGUAUUUAUAGCCUCCAACCACUUCCUAGUCAUUGCUCCUUUUCUGCCCACCGCGGACGGUCCGCCCCUGCACAUCAACGGCUGAAAUCGCAACGGUCAGCAGUAACGGCUAUAUCAACGGCUAUAGUGCAUUUAAUGCGUCGUCAGAUGUCAGAUAAAGUAGUCGCGAACGGUCCGGCCGUGCACCACGGACAGUCCGCGAGGACGCUAAAAAUGCAUUUUACCGAACCCGUCACCUUCGGGUUUUUCUUGUUUUUCAACGACCGGACAGUCCGUGCCUGAGGCCGGAUGGUCCGCGCGUGGUCUCGGACGUUGCUCGCUUCUCCUUUGGACGGUCCGUAGUGUUAACUUGUGUUUUUGCAGUGUCCCUGUCCGAGGCUCACCCUGGUGCCGCGGACGGUCCGCCACAAGUGCCCGGACGGUCCGCACAUAGAUGUUUUUCCAAAAAGCUUCUCCUGUCCGGAAUAAUCUACGGUAUUCCGGACAGUCGACUUAGAAUAGUUGUGGAUGAACUUAUGCACCUGAGAAAUGAUCAACUAGGAAAACUAGUUAGUCCACGUGGUUUGUGUUGGACGUCAAACACCAAAAUCGAUUAUAGGAAAUGAUUAAGCCCAUUUCCCUUUCAAUCUCCCCCUUUUUGGUGAUUGAUGCCAAUACAAACCAAAGCAAAUAUAAAGUGUAAGAAUGUAACUAGUUUGCAAUUUUGACAGAUGUGCAUAAGUUACUUUGAAUUUAAACCGAUUGAAAGUACUUUUGAGUAUAAAUGAUUGCUUUCUUCUAGUUUAACAUUUUGGACCACAUUUGCACCACUUAGCUGGUUUUUUCAAAUCUUUUGGAAAAGUCUUUUCAAAUUCUUUUGCAAAUAGCCAAUGGUAUAAGAAUAUGAUUUCAGAAAGCAUUUUCAAGAUUUUAAAAAUUCUCCCCCUGUUUUAAAUGAUUUUCUUUUGGCUAAAUAAAAGCUCCCCCUGAAGAAGUUCUCCCAUUAGCUGUCAAGAGGGUUUUUGUAAUUUGAAUAAUUUCUCUCCCUUUUUGAAAAAGUUUUUAGAAAACAGGUUGAUGGUGCAGUCCUUUUGCUUUGGGCCUAUUAAUUUCUCCCCCUUUGGCAUGAAGCGCUAAAACGAAGAAACUUGAGAGGCCUAAUCUUUUCUCCCCCUUUGUAAAAAGAUAUGAGUGAAAGUUGAUGAGUAGGACAAAGGAUAAAUGACAUAGAUAGAGUUGUAGUGGAAGCCUUGCCUUUGCCGAAUACUCCAUUUCCCUUUCAAUCUAAGACUAAUCAUUGAGAUACUCAUGGAAGCACAUUAGUCUUAGCCUUGGCACAAGAAGAAUAAGAAAUUUGCAUUUGUACCAAAUGAAAGAGACAUGAUCAAAGGUAUAUAAAUGACCAAUGUGUGCAAUGUUUCAAUCAAAGUUCCGAGAAUCCCAGAUGUUUAGCUCAUUCCUAAGCUUGCUAAAAGUCUUUUCAUCUAGGGGCUUGGUAAAGAUAUCGGCUAAUUGGUUGUGGGUGCUAACAUAAGCAAUUUCGAUAUCUCCCUUUUGUUGGUGAUCUCUCAAAAAGUGAUACCGGAUGUCUAUAUGCUUAGUGCGACUAUGUUCAACGGGAUUAUCCGCGAUGCGGAUUGCACUCUCGUUAUCACAUAGGAGAGGGACUUUUCUCAACUUGUAGCCAUAGUCCCUAAGGGUUUGUGUGGCAGCCCUCCCAAGUUAUCGGGCCCACUUGCACCAAUCCUUGCCUUGAUGGCCUCAGAUGGCUAUGCACGUGUACCAGGUAACUUAACAAGGCUAUCACGAGUUCAACAACUUGAACUCACCAUCCCAAGGAUCUCCCACCAUACAUGCAUAUUACAGUAAUCACAUUCGAUACACACACUUCGGAGAUAAAGAGCGGAAGACUUUACAAACAUUCUUUACCUUUUCAAAACUCAAGUUUUACAUGUUUCGAAAGAAUAAUAUUUAUUACAAGUACUGAUAUACUCAAAGUGCAUAACUUAUUACAAAAGCAGGAAGGUAGAAACCCUCCAAAGCUUAUACAUAAACCUAGCUAGUCCUCCUCCAGAACUAGAAACGCUCUCCAGCCUCAGGAACAUCUAGAGUACUCCUCAUCACCUACAACAACAUGGGUUCGAAAACUCUGAGUAUGGAGUGUACUUUCGCAAGUCUUACCCGACUAAGGAAAAAUGACUCUCAAGGAUAUGCUGGUUAAGUAGGAGUCAAGGAAAAGGCUUUAGCAAGAAUCAACUUAGAUACUUUUGCAGAAAUAGCUUACUAAAGUGAGUCCUUACUUUCAAUAUUUUAACGCCAGAUUAAAUAUUAAUAGACUCUGGUUGCAUCUAGUCUAAUUUCACCAUCUCAUCAAUACAACAUCAUUUUUAUUCAUAAUGUUUACAUCCUGACUUAGGUUGCAGGGCAACGAUCAAGUCUCCACUCUCCAGGGAUAUAACGGCGAUCCGAAUCGAUUUACUCAGCUGAGGAUCUCUAACCACACGACAUAUGUUUCUCGUAACUCUCGCAUAUGUCUACCAUUCCCACGGAUCCUCCACUGCAUGAACAGGUCCGCGCCACCCGAGAGCACACCACCCUUUUUAGGCGGUCCUUUGCCAGGAGGGUACGUGCCACUCUCGCCAUCUCUCCACUCCCAGUGCGCGAUUGUCUUUUCAUGUAUGGAAUAGCCGGGUUCAAGCUUACCCUGUCCCAUAUCCAGGGCAUGUGACUAGUUAAGAUAGUCCUUGAUCAUACAGGCCUACAUACGCAUCCAAUCCUUAAUUAACCUGGGUAGAACAUCACCUGUUCCUAACCCAAGUCCCGAUUUAAGUACUUCCAUCCUUAGCAUUGUUUGUGUUCCUUAGGAUGAAAAGAGCACAUUAUAGGAUAACCCCUGAGCUAGGCAUUAUUGCAAAAGACAACUUCUAUCCACAAGAUCUAAGCAGGGCUAAGCAUUUUUUUAAACAAUAUUUGAUACUUCCAAAGAAGUAUCUAUUACAGGAAUGGAUAUCAAGGUAGUCAAUGCAUCAAAUAGUUUUCAAGCAACUCCUAUAAACUUAAUGCACAUUUCACUAGACUUAAAGUGUAUAAAAGUCUUUAAAAAUACAAAGAAAGGGGCAAAUGCACCGGGGCUUGCCUUUGUUGCAGAGAAGAGGCUCUAGAUCCUUCUACCCAAUCUUUAGUUAGAUAGCUCCAUCCACUUGAUGAGCAGGCACUGGAGUAGACUCCUUCAAACACCACUUCUUCUAGGUGUUCUACAAGUGAAUUACAAAUACAUGUAUGCUUAUGUUAUGAUAUGAAAUGCAAACUCUCACAAGGAGAGGUGGGGAAAUAUAAAUACUCCUAAAUAAGUACAUGACAAGUAUACACAUACUUCUACACAACCUUGUACUUAAUAAAAGUGACCAAUUUGAAUUCACUUAGGUAAACCAGAGAAUUAAUCCAACUUAUAUCUCCUCCAAAAGCUUAAAACUUUUUAAGCAACUUCAUCUCUUCCCUAGAUAAACUUAUCUCCUUUCCAAAGCACUAACCCACACUGAACUGCUAUUUCAGCUAACUGAAUAAAAUUCAGUCACAGUCACUCUGACAGUCCAGUUUUGGACAGCUGUUAUUUUCUACUUUAUGUGGAUUCAAGCCUAACUUGUUUAAAGGGAUUUGUUCCUUAUAACAUGGUCUUUCACUUUGCUAUAGCAUUCCUACCCCAAUUCUUCUUGGAUUAAUUACCACAAGGGCCCAAAUUGAAUAAAAACACACAAAUUCAGACUUAAAUAUUAUUCUAAGUCUGAAUCCUAACACCUGACAGUCCACCUUUUUGCCAGUUUUAUUCCCAAAUUUAUGUGGAACCAAGUCCACCUCACUUUACAAAACUUACUCUCUUUACUAUGGUCUCCAGCUUUGCUAUGGAAACUUUAAUCCAAAACCCCAUGAAUCAGUCACAAAUGAAUUCCAAACUAGGCAUACUGCUGCAAUUCAGUUCACAGAACUGAAUAAAAAAAUUCAGUUGUGUCCAGCCUAACAGUCUAACUUUAGCCAACCUUUUCUCCAACUUUUACACAGAAAAAGACCAAGCUCACAUUACCAAAGUUAUUCCUUAGAUAUAGCUCUACUACUUUGGUAUAGCACCCCUAGGUUAAAAACAUUCAGAACAAUUUUUUUACGAAGCACCAAAGUGGAGCUCAACACACUAGAACCUAGUUUCAGCCUUCUGCACUAAGUCUGCGAUCCAAAAAUCCAACAACCUAUUUUUUAGCGAACUUUACACCUAGUUCCCAGCAACAGACAGUGGUAGAGUACAAGUAGUAAAUGGUGAGCUUCACUGACCUUUGCCGAGCAUGGAACAAGUAGUACACGGCCAAGAAUACUUGUGGGAAACUUUGUCCACGAGGAGGUGAAAAACGGUUGGGUUUGGUCACCACAGGCAAGAGGUUGGCAUUCAGCUCUAGAGUAAAACAAACUUGGUGGCUGAAAGAGAGGAUGCACACCAGCAAGAAUACCAGGACUCCAACACCUUUGUAGUGGACUGGGACUACAGCUCGAGAACAAGGGAGAAAAGCUUUUCUGAACUCAGCCGUGGAACACACUGAAUAAGUAGGCAGGGGGAGGGGUCACUGAGCGCAUCCAGUCCAUGGGGAGAAGGGGGCAAACCUGGGCUAGGGAGGGGGUUAUACCAGCAGUACAUAAGGACUGCACACUCAAGCAGUGAACUUUGGCUAGAAUUUGAGGGCAAGGAAGAAAUCUUCACUCAAUACGGCAGCCCAAGGUACUGAAUAUAGGGGCAGGUGCAGUGGAGCUCAUCCACGCUUGAUGAAGGAGGAUUCCUAGAGUGCCAGCACACCAAAGGUUCAAAAACGUGGCAUACAAGCACUACACCUCGUUGGCUCAGCUCCCACACAUAAAUAUCACUUUGUCCAAAUCUGUAUGUAGUAGACAAAAUAGAUAAGAUUUCUACUGCCCACUGCCCCCCCAAGCAGUCCAAAUUGGAUAUUUUAGUGGGAGUGAGACCUCUAGGACCUUCAACUAUUCACUACAACCUUAUCUUCAUUUCUACACGCUAGUGCAGCCAGCAGGGAUAAAAAGAUCUCCUUCAGAUAUUUUUGGAGUACACUGAACUGCUGCUGUUUGACUGAGUUCAC